rnacentral:lncRNA from 1 species
AUGCCGACUUCCCGGCCGCGGACGCGUGUGCCGAGGGCGCGUGUGCCGAGUGCACGUGAUGUCAAGUGUGUUUGCGGGAAGCGGGCUCAGUUCUGUGAGUCACUGCCUGGCCUCCUCUUUGAAGGGACAGCGUGGCUUCCCUCACAGCCCCACCUGUGUGCCCUGCCCCCAGCCCCUCCUCUCCUGGGCGACAGGGUGGACCCCGCUGUCCGUGCGUCAUUGUCCUGUGUCCCUCUGGGUGCAUCGUCUCAGCCUCCCUCCCCCGCUGGCCAGCCCUGCUGCCUCGGCUGCCGCCCCCCGCCCUGCUCAGUCUCUGUCCAGUGCCUGUGCUCAGCGUGUGGGGUGCACGGCCCAGGCUGCCUUCUGGCCCCACCAGCCCUCCCGCCUCCAGGAGGGCAGGCUCCCCGGCUGGGGGGAUGGAGUCGCUUCGUCAGCUACUCCCCAUGCCGGCGCCCCUCAGCGUGGGGCGAGCAGGACAAGCUGCGGCCUCGGAGCUCGUGGAGGGCUGGGCUGUGCUCCCCAGGGCUAGGCACUCAUGUUGUGCGCUCACACUUGUGGUUACGUGUGCACACGCAUGAACACACAUGCACUCACGCCCAUAUAUGCAGUCAUAUGUCCACACACAUACACUCACACGUGUGCACGCACUGGUACAGUACACUCGGGCAUAUGCCUGCACUCACACAUGUGACAUGCUCACACGUGUACACACCCGCACAGGACCCUUGUCACGCACAUGUAUGUGUGCUCAUACACUUGCACACGUACUUGUCCAUGCACACAACACACAUGUGCUCGCACUCCCGUGCACACAGACUCAUACAUAUAACACGCGUGCCCUUGCGCGUGGGCACACACGGGCUCUUCUUUUGGAAACAGGUAUGCAGUCGUUGGGGCGAACCUCGUGUUGGCAGCAUGUGUGAGGUUCCUUUUGUGCUUGAAUUGCAAGAAACUUGUGUGUCACUGCCAGGACAGGGCCCUGCGGCAGGCGUGGCUGUGUCGGGGCAGAGCCCUGCGGGCGACAGGGCUGGUGAAACCAGGGGUGGUGAAACCAGGUGA